UACGUAGGGGGCAAGCGUUGUCCGGAUUUAUUGGGCGUAAAGAGCGUGUAGGCGGCCAUACAGGUCAGCUGUGAAAACUCGAGGCUCAACCUCGAGACGUCGGUUGAAACCGUAUGGCUAGAGUCCGGAAGAGGAGAGUGGAAUUCCCGGUGUAGCGGUGAAAUGCGCAGAUAUCGGGAAGAACACCUAUGGCGAAGGCAGCUCUCUGGGACGGUACUGACGCUGAGAAGCGAAAGCAUGGGGAGCGAACAGG
rnacentral:rRNA from 1 species